UAAAAAAUUUUGGCGGUAUUUUAAGCUUAUUAGAGGAAUUUGCUCUGUGAUGGACACAACGCCUUAAUCUUACUUAAUUUAGUAAUUUAAAUCAGUUUGUAUACCACUAUAUUAAUUAUAUUGAAUAGUUAUAUUUAAAAUUUUUUUAAAAAAAUAUAUUAAGUCAAGGUGCAUCUAAUAAUUAUGAAUGAAGUGAAUUACAUUAAUUUUAAUGUAAUUUUUUACAUGAAAAAAUUAAUUAGGAUUUAAUAGUAAAAUACUAAUAUUAUGAGUAUUUGAAUCAAGCUCUAAAAUAUGCACAUAUCGCCCGUCGCUCUCAGAAGUGAGAUAAGUCGUAACAAACUAAAAAUACUGGAAAGUGUUUUUUAAAAUGAAAUCAUUUGAUGUUUCAUUUACAAUGAAAAUUUUGUUGUUUAACCAUUUUAA
rnacentral:rRNA from 1 species